rnacentral:miRNA from 1 species
CUGGCGGGCUUUCUGCCCU